GCAAGUCUGGUGCCAGCAGCCGCGGUAAUUCCAGCUCCAAUAGCGUAUAUUAAAGUUGUUGCAGUUAAAAAGCUCGUAGUUGAAUUUCGGGAUCAAUAUUUCGGUCAUGCCGUUGGUAUGCACUGUUAUCAUUGAUUUCUCACCUUCUAAAGAACCAUAAUGCCAUUAAUUUGGUGUUACGGGGAAUUAGGACUGUUACCUUGAAAAAAUUAGAGUGUUUAAAGCAGGCUCACGCUUGAAUACAUUAGCAUGGAAUAAUGAAAUAGGACAUCCGAUUCUAUUUUGUUGGUUUCUAGGAUCGAUGUAAUGAUUAAUAGGGAUAGUUGGGGGCAUUAGUAUUCAAUUGUCAGAGGUGAAAUUCUUGGAUUUAUUGAAGACUAACUACUGCGAAAGCGUUUGCCAAGGAUGUUUUCAUUAAUCAAGAACGAAAGUUAGGGGAUCGAAGACGAUCAGAUACCGUCGUAGUCUUAACCAUAAACUAUGCCGACUAGGGAUCGGAUGAUGUUAAUUUUUUAAUGACUCAUUCGGCGCCUUACGGGAAAC
rnacentral:rRNA from 1 species